rnacentral:rRNA from 1 species
AAAGGAAUUGACGGGGGCCCGCACAAGCGGAGGAACAUGUGGUUUAAUUCGAUGAUACGCGAGGAACCUUACCUGGGAUUGAAAUGUAUAUGAGUAUUCCUUGAAAGAGGGAUAGUUCACUUCGGUGACAUAUAUGUAGGUGCUGCAUGGUUGUCGUCAGCUCGUGCCGUGAGGUGUCGGCUUAAGUGCCAUAACGAGCGCAACCCUUAUCGUUAGUUACUAGCAGGUAAAGCUGAGGACUCUAGCGAGACUGCCGUCGUAAGGCGAGAGGAAGGUGGGGAUGACGUCAAAUCAGCACGGCCCUUAUAUCCAGGGCGACACACGUGUUACAAUGGUGAGGACAAAGGGUAGCUACCUGGUGACAGGAUGCCAAUCUCCAAACCUCAUCUCAGUUCGGAUCGGAGUCUGCAACUCGACUCCGUGAAGCUGGAUUCGCUAGUAAUCGCGCAUCAGCCAUGGCGCGGUGAAUACGUUCCCGGGCCUUGUACACACCGCCCGU